rnacentral:lncRNA from 1 species
AGAAGACUGAAGAAAAGAAGUCAGACAGCCAAGGAACCUCAGGACCUGAGGGACAACACAACAAUGAGUUGCCUGGGUCUCCUUAUUGCUUCCCAUAUAUCCUGGACAGGGAUCUGCAGAAUUCUCUAACCUGGAACCACCAGCAGAAUCAUUGAAGAAUUUCUUUUCCCAUUUCACCCCAUCAGAGGCUGCUUGGCCAAGAUUACCUCGGAUGCUGUAAAUAUGGGAGAGCAGCAUCUUUCCAAUACUUGAGGAGACAAUCUGGACCCGAGUCACCAAUAAGCCUCUUACUGAACAGGUGGAGAUCUGUGGAAUACAGAGCUAGAGGGAAGAGAGCAGAAUGGAAGUCACUGAGAGUCCUUGAAAGAACUAUACUUACUCUCGUUGGUUUGGUCAAUUGUCUCCUAUGGGAAAUGACCAACACUUGGAGAAAACAUCCUGGCAAAUAAGAAC